rnacentral:lncRNA from 1 species
CCAAGCAAAGCAAUUACUAGCAUAAAACAGUUUGUAAAUCAUGUCAGCAUUUAGGUACCUAGACAUUAUAAAACCAUCUGAGAAAACAACUUUAGAACAAAAAAUAAAAUUUACUGAUCUUUAGAAAAAGACAAUGAAGCAUUAAAUGACCAUACGACUGAACCGACCCCUAAUUCGCAGAAACUACAGUAGUAGGGGAUUAGGUAUUUUAGAAAAGCUUUAACUUGGCGGUGCUCCUCCAUAACUUCCAGAUCCUCUACCAAAGCCACCCCUUCUACCAGAACCCUGCAUUUUCAUAAUCAAUAACUUAGAUAUAAGCUAUUCAAUAAAACAGCAUAUUUCUUGCGUUAAUGGUGACAAUAGCAAGUCAGAUUUAGCAGGUACAACUUGCACAAUAUACAAGAUUAAGAAUGACUAC